CCUACGGGUGGCUGCAGUGAGGAAUAUUGGUCAAUGGACGCAAGUCUGAACCAGCCAUGCCGCGUGCAGGAAGACGGCUCUAUGAGUUGUAAACUGCUUUUGUACGAGGGUAAACGCAGAUACGCGUAUCUGUCUGAAAGUAUCGUACGAGUAAGGAUAGGCUAACUCCGUGCCAGCAGCCGCGGUAAUACGGAGGAUUCAAGCGUUACUCGGAUUUAGUGGGUGUAAAGGGGACGCAGGCGGUCGGAUAAGUUAGAGGUGAAAUCCCGUGGCUCAACUUCGGAAUUGCCUUUGAUACUGUUAGGCUAGAGAGUAGUUGCGGUAGGCGGAAUGUAAGGUGUAGCGGUGAAAUGCUUAGAGAUCAGACAGAACACCGAUGGCGAAGGCAGCUUACCAAGCUACGUCUGACGUUGAGGCACGAAAGCGUGGGGAGCAAACAGGAUUAGAUACCCCAGUAGUC
rnacentral:rRNA from 1 species